rnacentral:lncRNA from 1 species
UGUGAAAACCAGUGAGGCUUCGAAGCUUCCAUUCCAAAUGACCAGUCUAACUAUACACAGGUUCAUUAAGGUGUACAGAUUCCGCAAGUGCGUCAUUUUGAUUGCUUUAAGAAACUUUUUUGCAUGUAUUUAUUUAUUUAGGCAGGGCAGGGGGCCUUGAGUCAUGCUGUAUGUGUGGAGGUCUGAGGACACUUCCAGGAGGUCUCUCUUCCUACCACGUAGGUCUCAGGGAUCCCACCCAGGUCAUCAGGCUUGGCAGAAGAGUGUUUUCUUGAUAAGUCAACUCAUGGGUUCCAAGGGGUUGGCUUAAUAGUUCAAAGACAUGCUAUUUUAUUGGAGCAUGCUACUGUUAUCCCUGUCAAGAUUUGACAUAAGGAAGAAAAAAAAGAGGGGCUGGGAACCGACACAAGUAAUCCUGUUCCAUCAACUGGCAGCUUUUACUCAGCUAAUAUAGAAUUGAGUUGACAACAUUUUGAAACCAAGCAAGGCUUAAAUUCAUAGUUCUUCUGUACUGCCUUCAAAGAAUUGGCAUUUCAGGUGUAAAUUACAAGUAAACAUUUUUAAAUGUUAGCAAAUGUCCAUAACUCCAUCUUCUUCUGAAGAUACUGCUUUGUGCCCUCAGUGGUAUGCAGGUUCUUCAUGUCUAUAACUGGCUGGGAUGGGGCUAUAGGGGUCUUCCCAUAUAGAUCAUUGGGGGAAUUCCAACCUGCCUUAUUGCAAUCCCAACCUGUUCCUCCUAUGGAAACUACCUGCCUAAUGCCUGAGCUUGCAAUUCGGCAUAUAGGUUUGAGAAGGGAAGAAGUGUGUGUUGUCAUAAAUACUGGCUAUAUUUGUUUGGUUUUUCAACAGACCUCAACUUAAAAUGCCAUCUCUGCUACUCAAAUCCCAAGUUGCCCUGAGCAAAACCUUGACCUCCCUGUGCUCCCAAUUUUCCAUCAGCAAAAUGGAGAGUUACUGUAGGAAUGACUUCUUAGCGUUGCCAAGAUAAGCAUUAUAAGCCCAGAGAAGUAUUGUGCUGAUGGAUGGCAUUAUAAAAGACAUUGAGCAAAUUACAAGCUUGGAGAGUGAAGCUUCCUUGAGGUGGCUGAAUUAAAGGGGAAAAAAAUGAAACCCUGCCUUCUCUUAUUUUCCAGACUGCAUCUCUUUCUCUGACUGGUCUCUAAUACAGCACGCGUUAGAUUGUGUCAUACUCAAACGUGCCUGCCUUCUUUUUCUCUCUUAGUUUGGAGGGCUGUGGGGAGAGGCUGAAAGAAUACUUCCUCUCUAAUGACCAAGAAGCACUGCCUUGGGUGAGAGGAGGAAGUAGUUAAUAGAAACUAGCACAGGACAGGAGAGGGUACAGGGUCUCCUCUUACCUGUGAGUAGCCUGGCAGUGGAUGGUGGUUCUGACAAGUGGACAGAUAAUCCAGAGCUAGUGCUCAGAGAAGUGGGAGUGAUCCUAAUGAGAACACGGGACAAAUAGGAAGGUACCAACUUCAAAACAGGCUCCUGGCUGGUUCUGAGCUUACAAACUUAGAUGACCAUAAUUCUGCAUGUCAAGCAGCAUCGUGAAGACCUGUGUCCCAGAAAAACAAAGGAAUCCUGACUCCAGAGCUCUCCUCAGGCUCAGAAAUGACCCUUGAGGCAAGAGCUUUAUGGUAGCUUACACACACUCUUAGACAGUUUGCUUUCUGUCUGCCCAUGUGCCUGCACUAGUAGACCCUACACUCUGAUGCCCAAUCUCCUUUUUGUUUCUAAAUUUGUUUCUACCAUAUGUGUAUUCAGUCAAAAGCAUUAUACCAUGUUAAGUUUGUCUUACCCUGAACUUAUCAGGAAACUGACAUUCUGUAAGGUUGACGUAAAGAAACCUUCCUUUGUGAAGAUAUUUAUCUAACUACAAAAGAAGGAGCAGUGUUGUAUGGGGGCUGGGAGAUGAUGCUGAGAGUGCGGUCCAGAGCCUCUUGGUGAGAGCUCUGCCACUGAGCCACACCCCCAGCCCUGAGCAAUGCUUUAAUAUCCUGAGAUGUGGAUGAAAAGUCGUGCUCAUACGUACGUUCAUUUAAAGGAGCCUUCUCAGUAGUAAACUUAAGAGCAAAGUUUGAUGAGAUUAUGUCUACGUAUCUAGUUGAUGUUAAUUCUCAUUUGCCACUACAAGAAGUGAUGCUUUUUGCUCAAAAUGUGAAAAGGAUGUUUCAGACUGUAGCAAUUUCAGCAGUGGGCAUUUGCCACUGCUUUGAGGAGCGUUGCAAUGAGUGCUAUGAAUUCGUUUUCACGCCAGUGCUAUGAUGUUAGCAUUGUCCCUCCUUUAUUAAACUAGGUGACGAGGAGUUUUUCAUUCUCGGCAGUUUCUCAGUGCACUAUGAAACACCUUUGGCUUAGUAACCGUUUAUUUUAUGAAUGCAUUUGACCCAGGUUUUUUUUUAGAUCACUGAGACUACUUGCUCACUACUCAACUUUCAGUCCUGGGUAUUGAUGUAGACAACCUUUUUUUUGUUUUUUAGAAUUGUUUACUGGGAAAACGUUUGUACAUUAUUCUGUUGUGUAGAGGAAAUUGGACAUUUGAUGUAAUGGUGGGUAAGCUGAAACAUCCCACUUUCUUAUUUAUAAUUAAAGAAAGGGUACAAAUUUAAGUGUGCUGUUCACAGCACAUAAGGCCUUGAGUAGUUAUCUUUAUAAACAAAUUUGGAUGGUCUAAACUUUUCUGCUCAUUAAAUACUAAAAAGACACAAAUAAGCACACACAGAGAAAAAUAUGAGAGCAUACUUAUACCCUAGUUCUCCCAGAUAAUGUUCCAGUUUCAUUUAUGUUACUGUGAUAAGAUAUGCCCAACAAAGCACAAUUUAGAGAAGAAGAGAUUACAAUUCUAGGUUACAGUCCAUCAUAGCAGUCACAGCAUUGGGGUCUUUAAAUGUGGCUCACAUCAUACACACAGUUAAGAACAGAGAGAAAAAUGGAUGCAUGUGUGUUUAGUACUCAGUUUGCUUUCUCUACCCAUAUAAUUCAAGGCUCCAGCCAAGGGAAUGCUGCUUCCCACAACGGGCCGUGUCUUCUCACAUGAAUUAACUUAAAACAAUCCCCUACUGACAUACCAUGGGCCAACUCAAUGUAGAUAGUCCCUCAUUGACAUUUUCAUCCAGGUAGGUUUUAUCCAGUUGAAAAUUGAAAGCUAACCAUCCCUCAUCUCAGUUACUACUGUUCCCUGAAAAAGCAUAUUUUUCUUCUUCCUGUUCUGACCAGAGUGUGUGGAAAUCUUUGCAUUCUGGGAAGAGACAUGAUCCAUUAAAGCCAUGAGUGCUAGAAGUCUUUGUUUCCUAUUUAUGGAAAUCACACAUGCAAAGGGGACGUUUAUAGACAUGUUUGUAGCCCUGUAUCUGUUGGUACUUGCAAAGGGAGGCACUCAUCUCUAAGAAGGCACUUUUGGAUGCUUUAUGUUAGAGGAGUGUUGUGUUGGCUGUUUUUUAAACAUCAUUUAUAGCCUCUGACAUUCAUUU